GGGCUUGACAUCCCACGAACCUGUUGAAAGGCAGGAGUGCCCGCAAGGGAGCGCGGAGACAGGUGGUGCAUGGCUGUCGUCAGCUCGUGUCGUGAGAUGUUGGGUUAAGUCCCGCAACGAGCGCAACCCUCACCCCUUGUUGCUACCAGGUAAAGCUGGGCACUCUAGGGGAACUGCCCCGGUCAACGGGGAGGAAGGCGGGGAUGACGUCAAGUCAUCAUGCCCCUUACGUCCUGGGCUACACACGUGCUACAAUGGCCGGUACAAAGGGAUGCCACACCGCGAGGUAGAGCUAAACCCAAAAAGCCGGUCUAAGUUCAGAUUGGAGUCUGCAACUCGACUCCAUGAAGGAGGAAUCGCUAGUAAUCGCGUAUCAGCACGACGCGGUGAAUACGUUCCCGGGCCUUGUACACACCGCCCGUCACACCACGAAAGCCAGCUGUACUCGAAGUCGCUGAG
rnacentral:rRNA from 1 species